GCGGGGCCGAGCGAGAGGAGGAGGCGGCGGCCAUCUUAGCGGCGGCGGCGGGGCCGGGCCGGCGAUGAGCGGCUCCAAGCCCAGGUUGGCGGCGGCCGGGCCCGGCGGGGCGCUGAGCCGCCUGCGCGGGCAGAGGAGCUCCGGGACGGCCUCUCCCGCCGCGGCGCCACCGCUGUCCCGGGCCGCCCCGCCGCGGACGGAGGCGGAGCUGCUGGCGCUGGAGGCGGUGCGGCCCGAGCACGUCCUGGGACUCGGCCGCGUCACGGAGCAUUACCUUUGCCGACCGGAAGACAACAUCUACAAUAUCGACUUCACCAAGUUUAAAAUCCGGGACCUGGAAACUGGGACGGUGCUGUUUGAAAUCGCCAAACCUUCAACGUUAGAGCAAGAGGACUACGAAUGUGACCUUGGGGAGAUGGACAGCAGCGCCGGGCGUUUUGUGCGCUAUCAGUUCACGCCGGCCUUCCUGCGCCUACGGACUGUUGGGGCAACGGUGGAGUUCACCGUGGGAGACAAGCCCGUAUCCAACUUCCGUAUGAUCGAGAGGCAUUACUUCAGAGACCGUCUUCUGAAGAACUUUGACUUUGACUUUGGCUUCUGCAUCCCCUGCAGCAGGAACACCUGUGAGCACAUAUACGAGUUCCCUCAGCUUUCAGAGGAUCUCAUACACUUGAUGGUCGAGAACCCCUACGAGACUCGCUCAGACAGCUUCUACUUUGUGGACAACAAGCUGAUCAUGCACAACAAGGCCGAUUACGCCUACAAUGGCGGGCAGUAGCCAUUCCAUGACCGCCUGCGGACGUUGCACAGGCCAGAGGCAGCCCUAGUCCUGCUCCUCCUUCCCACGAGACUCAGGAAGCGGCAUGCAAAGCGGGAGGGGGGGGGUCUCUCCUGGGACAGUAAAGGAAUUCUCUGGGCCGCCGAUUCCUUGCUCCAUCGUGAUUGGCUUCCAUUGGCAUCCUGGUCUGGUGACGAGCCCAGCAGCGGCCCUUCCAAUGGAUGAAGCUUGGCUAGCAUCCCCUCCCUAACACAUCCUGCAGCCCAGAGAGCUGUGCAAGUGCCGGCUGCUCCUUCUGCUGCCUCCGGGUCUGCUUUGCACCUGAGCUGAUGUUCCUGUUCAUCGAGGUUGCUUCUCUAUCUCUGAGGUGGGAGGUGCCUGCAGAAGGCUCCUGGGGGAGGGAGGGGGGAGGGCAGGACUUCGCAGUGUGUUUUAUUCUGGGCCUGUUAGAGCAACCGCAACCCCUAAAGGUCUGAUCUGUAGGGUGAAAAUUAGUGGUGCCCUCCAGCCAGAGGAGCAGAAGGGGGCCCCCCUGGCUUCUCCUAGCAGCUCUCCCUGGGGAGUGGGGGCCAUCCUAGUCUUUCUCUUCCCUGCCCCACCUCUCAACAUUGCCUGCUUCUGGUUAAUAGGCUGCAGGUGAGAAUUGACUCCGCUACAUCUGGCUGGCUUCUCUGGCAAGCAGCUCUAGAUGCUGCUUUGGCAGAAGGGCUGGAGCCUCUCUGGAGGGACCUGGGUCCCCCCACGGCAGUCCGUCUCCAAAGGGGGGGCUCCAGGGGGCAACGGAAUAGUCCCAAAAGAGCAAUGCUUAAACCUCCUAGUUGGGAGGAGCUUCAGGUGCAGGAUUCAGUUCCGUUUUUUUUUUUUUUUGAAAGGGUAGAUUCUCGUGGCCGUCUGGGGAAGGGCUGGUGGUGGGAAUGGUGGGUUGACGCUUCCCGGGCUGUCUCUGGCAAAGUGCCUUUCUCCAAGGGCUUUCUUUUCCCGAUCCCUCACGGUCAAAUCCAGGUGCCUUUGGAACUACCCUCUGCUGCACGGAGUCCCCAGGCAGCUCCUCUGCCCUGGAAGCCUCGGAAGGGCUGGCCCCGAAGCAGGGGCCGUUUGCAAUAACCGGUUCCCCCUGCCAUCCUCCCAGCAACUUUUCCGCUGUGCCUUCCUUGCCACUGACUGCCCAGCAAUAAGCGGGAAACGGCGUGGGGGGAAAAAUGGGGCGCUUCACUGGGCAAUUGCCAGCCGCCAAAGUGCAGGAUCCAAAGUCACCCUCUCGUGCCCUCGGCUCCUACAGGAGCUGCCUCUGCGCCUCCCUGCAGUUCUCGAGCUGUUCUGCUGUGCCAUGGCCAUGUUUCUGCCACUCUCGUUGGGCAUGCAGGGGUCAGUGUGGGUGGGUGGGUGUGGGUGUUUCUGCCACGCUGACUAAGGGGGCGUGCAAAGAGUGGGGAAAGCAGGACGUGAUCAGAAAUCCAGGCGGGAGCCCUGCAAAGGGACUGGAGACGUGGGAAAGCGGGUGGCUUCUAAACCUGCCCCCUGGCUGGAAAAACGGGCAUGAAAUUGAGGUGGGGCCGUUUCCUCCUUUUUCAGCUCAGGAGAAAAGCCAAAGGGGGCCCCCCUCCCCUUUCGACACCUCCCGCCCUUGAAAGCGAAGAGCAGCUCUGGGGAGACCUGCCUGCGUUCAGCCCUCAGCAGUGGCCUCGGCCACCUUCGUGGCCAACACACAGCUGGCAGUUUCCAGUUAUGUGGACUGAUCCUCAGAUUCAGGGUCUGGGAAUUGCAUUCCCCACAGCACGGAGGGUCUGGAAUUCUGCAUGCAAUGAUCUUACGAGAUGGGUGUUGAGAAACACUGGUUUUAGAGCAACAGUGCAAUGAAUUUUCCAAGGGAGGAAGAGGAUUGAGCACUGUGGCCAAAAGCCCCACACGCACACAUGCACACACACACACCCCUAUCUUGUGGCCAUGGAAACUUCAUGAGAGUGUCCAUGAAAGGGGCUCUUCCGUCCCACAGAAUCGUGGUGUGGCAAAUGUGAAAUGCACAGGAAACGGUUCCUAGUUUUUCUAAUUUUCUGCCGAGGUAUUUUUCCACAGAGAAUGGCAGAAGUUCCGAAAGUCCCCUUCCCCGCCCCCCCCCAUGUGGUUUCCUUAACUAUCGGCUCCAUCAUGCUAUCAUUUUUAUAUCUCCUUGAUCUGCAGUAAUCUAGCCGACUUGUUUGUAUAAAGUGUUAUUUUGUCUCAAGCAAUAGUAAUUAAAAAAGAAACCUACAUUCCA